CACACACACACACAUAUGCACACGUAUCGAGGCAAAAAUGGAAGUCAAGAAGCAGAAGCAGAAAAGGUAGAAUUGCGCAUUUCGAUAUCUUCUUCUAAGAUUAAAAAGAUCUCUGAUGAAAGAGCAUGCAGUGACUGGAAAUGGAUCCGACGGCAGAUUACCGCAGGUGAAAGUGAGAUUUCCGAGUUAAUCGGCCGCGGUAUCGGCAAACUGUCGGGGAAACGUUUAUCUGAUUAUCAGUUGAAACAUUUGUUCUGCUGAUCAGAUCACAUUUGAUCGAGAUGAAAAAGAGGAGAAGGAAAAACACACUCGUCUGAAAAAAAAAAAAAGAAAUCUCAACCACGAUUUUUCACAAAGAUCGAAGAUCGAAUUUUCGUUAUAAAAAUUUCAUCACCGAUCACUGAAUCGCUUCUUUUUCUAAAUUAAAAUUCCUAAAUUCGAAAAGAAAAAUUGAUCCUACAUUCGUCGAUUUGCUCGUCUGUUUUUCAGGAAACGAGAAUUAAUUGCGACGAAUACGGUUGGAAUCAAGUUGGAAAGUUGGAAGGUAAAUCAAAGAAGCAAUCGACUUAAGUGCGCGCGCCACUGUCCGCAACAUUCGACUAUACGUUAAAUCGACAAAUUAGAUUGAUCGAUUAGUUGCAUUAAUCGACGCGAACGUGGCUGGCACCGAUAUUCGGCCGAAGUUCGAGCCAGCUACUCAAGACACCUUGUUCGACGGGAUAGAUACUCGA